rnacentral:rRNA from 1 species
UCUGGAANCUGUCUGACUUGAGUGCAGAAGGGGAGAGUGGAAUUCCAUGUGUAGCGGUGAAAUGCGUAGAUAUAUGGAGGAACACCAGUGGCGAAAGCGGCUCUCUGGUCUGUCACUGACGCUGAGGCUCGAAAGCGUGGGUAGCGAACAGGAUUAGAUACCCUGGUAGUCCACGCCGUAAACGAUGAGUGCUAGGUGUUAGGCCCUUUCCGGGGCUUAGUGCCGGAGCUAACGCAAUAAGCACUCCGCCUGGGGAGUACGACCGCAAGGUUGAAACUCAAAGGAAUUGACGGGGGCCCGCACAAGCGGUGGAGCAUGUGGUUUAAUUCGAAGCAACGCGAAGAACCUUACCAGGUCUUGACAUCCCGAUGCUAUUCUUAGAGAUAGGAAGUUACUUCGGUACAUCGGAGACAGGUGGUGCAUGGUUGUCGUCAGCUCGUGUCGUGAGAUGUUGGGUUAANNCCCGCAACGAGCGCAACCCUUAUUGUUAGUUGCCAUCAUUAAGUUGGGCACUCUAGCGAGACUGCCGGUAAUAAACCGGAGGAAGGUGGGGAUGACGUCAAAUCAUCAUGCCCCUUAUGACCUGGGCUACACACGUGCUACAAUGGUCGGUACAACGAGUUGCGAGCCGGUGACGGCAAGCUAUCUCUGAAAGCCGAUCUCAGUUCGGAUUGGAGGCUGCAACUCGCCUCCAUGAAGUCGGAAUCGCUAGUAAUCGCGGAUCAGCACGCCGCGGUGAAUACGUUCCCGGGCCUUGU